rnacentral:lncRNA from 1 species
GGCGGUCGGAGGUUCUGCGGCCCGCGGCUGCCCUCUCGUGGCACUUGGGCGCUACGGCAUGGGCGCUUCCGCCCAACCCCGGGAGCCCAGCCAAGCGCUGUGUUUUUCCAGGUCCGCGCAGGGCCAGGGGAACCCUGCGUGUUUGUUUGAUGGGAAUGGAUUACUGGAAAGCUAGACGGAAGGUACCCUGUAAACCGGCAGCUCCCAACUCCAUCCCAUUGAUGGAUAUCAUCCAGUGCCACCAGAGGGGCUGCUCUGAACAUUUGCCCAGGCUGCAGAUGCUGGGAGUUUGCUCUAUGACCCCACCACACUUGUUCUGCUUAGGGUAUCAAAGCUCUUUGUGACCGAGGUUACCGUAAAGAUUUCCUGUGGAGGGAGACACCAGGGACAGAGCAUGCAUCUGGAAGUCUCACAGCGUGGACUCUGUGUGGUGACACUGCAGUUCCAUGUUCUUCAAGAAAUGUCUAGACUGGAUGACCUCAUUGGAGAUCUUCUGGCACAAAGCCCUUUUCACACAGCAAACUGAGACCCAGAGAGGGGAAGUGACUGGCCCAGGUCACUCAGCAAGUUGGUGGCCGAGCUGGAAUUAGAUCUCAGGUCUCCUGACAUCCGGUUCUGUCAUUAAUUACGCACAGUUGUUGAGGACCUACUAUAUGCCAGGCACUCUGCUGGGCACUGGGAUACAGCUG